CCUCCUUUGUUCCUCCUUUCUUCCUCUUUUUCCCUUUCCUCAAUUCUUAACCAGCCAUGCCGCGUGCAGGAAGACGGCUCUAUGAGUUGUAAACUGCUUUUGUACGAGGGUAAAUCCCGAUACGUGUAUCGGGUUGAAAGUAUCGUACGAAUAAUGAUCGGCUAACUCCGUGCCAGCAGCCGCGGUAAUAUGGAGGAUUCAAGCGUUAUCCGGAUUUAUUGGGUUUAAAGGGUGCGUAGGCGGUUCGAUAAGUUAGAGGUGAAAUCCCGGGGCUCAACUCCGGCACUGCCUCUGAUACUGUCGGGCUAGAGUUUAGUUGCGGUAGGCGGAAUGUAUGGUGUAGCGGUGAAAUGCAUAGAGAUCAUACAGAACACCGAUUGCGAAGGCAGCUUACCAAACUACGACUGACGUUGAGGCACGAAAGCGUGGGGAGCAAACAGGAUUAGAUACCCGGGUAGUC
rnacentral:rRNA from 1 species